rnacentral:rRNA from 1 species
AUUGAACGCUGGCGGCAGGCCUAACGCAUGCAAGUCGAGCGGAUGAAGGGAGCUUGCUCCUGGAUUCAGCGGCGGACGGGUGAGUAAUGCCUAGGAAUGUGCCUGGUAGUGGGGGAUAACGUCCGGAAACGGGAGCUAAUACCGCAUACGUCCUGCGGGAGAAAGUGGGGGAUCUUCGGACCUCACGCUAACAGAUGAGCCUAGGUCGGAUUAGCUAGUUGGUGGGGUAAAGGCCUACCAAGGCGACGAUCCGUAACUGGUCUGAGAGGAUGAUCAGUCACACUGGAACUGAGACACGGUCCAGACUCCUACGGGAGGCAGCAGUGGGGAAUAUUGGACAAUGGGCGCAAGCCUGAUCCAGCCAUGCCGCGUGUGUGAAGAAGGUCUUCGGAUUGUAAAGCACUUUAAGUAGGGAGGAAGGGCAGUAAGUUAAUACCUUGCUGUUUUGACGUUACCAACAGAAUAAGCACCGGCUAACUUCGUG